CAAUAAACUUCGGUUGCAUGCAUGUAUAGACACACUCACACUUGUGCAAGCACAUUUUCUUAGGCAAAGGAGCUUCUGCUUGGGCCUGCAGGGCUUGCACCCACCUCAUCUUUUAUUUAAGCUUAGUGUUUUCUAAAUAUUUUCAGAUUUCCAUUAUUAGCUAUUUGACCCCAAACAGCCUAGAGAUUAUAGUAGCAGCUCCCUGCUGAGAAAACCACCUGUAGAGGACAAUGCAGCCAAACCAUCCGACUGACAAAACUCUCUUUGAACAGCAGAAUCACAAAAGGGUAAGGUCUGAAAAAAGAAAAAUCACUCAAGUCUGGUUCAAAUUCUAAAACACAGAAAACAGUAUUGGAACCAAGAGAGACCUGAUCCUAUGCCACAGCACUCGAUACCCAAAUGCCACCAGGAGAGAGUGGGCCUCCCAGAAGUGCUGCACAUCUGUGAUCACAGCUAACAAGUCCAUCCCUUCAUUGGUAUUAGAGUUCACUUCUACAGUAUACUGGAAACUAGCUGAGAUAUUCUCCCUUGAGGACAGAACAACUAUUGGAUUCUUGGACCUUCUCUUCACAGGUGGCCAUUGUUGAAUUAGCUGAACCACAGCCUAUUUUCUUCAUACAAUAUAUUCUGAUUAUGGUUCCCUUCCUCCAAGUCCUCUGAAUCGCUUGCCACCUCUCCUCCCAUCAGAAUCCACAUCCUAUCUGUCUCUCCUUGGAAAACACCCUGGUAUCUAAGGAAUAAUAAUAAGUUAUAAUAUGACAAGACAAACAAACUGAAGAAAAAGCACUAAGGAAAAAGCACAAGAUACCUAUGUAGAUGGAUCCAGUUAUAACAGAGUCCAGGAAUGGAGUUAUAUGAGAAAUCUGAGUGCUAGUGAUAAAACUACAAGAAAACAAGGCAAGCAUCUUAUGACCUCAGUUUCCUCAAACUACAGAACUGUUGCUGAACUGUGCUUUUGUGCUGCUUCAGGUGGAGCAGAUGCCUCUAUGGAAAAGCGCGGUUUUGCCCUGUGGGGCUUGUCCUUGUGAUUGUAUACUUCACUCAGCUGACUCUUCUUACCCGCAGAGGAUAAUACUGUUUGAUGCUCCCAAUAAAGUUGGCUACUACAUGGAAA